AGCUUGCUGGGGGAUUAGUGGCGAACGGGUGAGUAACACGUGAGUAACCUGCCCUUGACUCUGGGAUAAGCCUGGGAAACUGGGUCUAAUACCGGAUAUGACUCCUCAUCGCAUGGUGGGGGGUGGAAAGCUUUUGUGGUUUUGGAUGGACUCGCGGCCUAUCAGCUUGUUGGUGGGGUAAUGGCCUACCAAGGCGACGACGGGUAGCCGGCCUGAGAGGGUGACCGGCCACACUGGGACUGAGACACGGCCCAAACUCCUACGGGAGGCAGCAGUGGGGAAUAUUGCACAAUGGGCGCAAGCCUGAUGCAGCGACGCCGCGUGAGGGAUGACGGCCUUCGGGUUGUAAACCUCUUUCAGUAGGGAAGAAGCCGUGAGGUGACGGUACCUGCAGAAGAAGCGCCGGCUAACUACGUGCCAGCAGCCGCGGUAAUACGUAGGGCGCAAGCGUUAUCCGGAAUUAUUGGGCGUAAAGAGCUCGUAGGCGGUUUGUCGCGUCUGCUGUGAAAGACCGGGGCUCAAC
rnacentral:rRNA from 2 species